AUUGAACGCUGGCGGCAUGCUUUACACAUGCAAGUCGAACGGUAACAGGCCUUCGGGUGCUGACGAGUGGCGAACGGGUGAGUAAUGCAUCGGAACGUGCCCAGAGGUGGGGGAUAACGCAGCGAAAGCUGUGCUAAUACCGCAUGUGAUCUGAGGAUGAAAGCGGGGGACCAGGCAGCAAUGUUUGGCCUCGCGCCUUUGGAGCGGCCGAUGUCAGAUUAGGUAGUUGGUGGGGUAAAGGCCUACAAAGCCGACGAUCUGUAGCUGGUCUGAGAGGACGACCAGCCACACUGGGACUGAGACACGGCCCAGACUCCUACGGGAGGCAGCAGUGGGGAAUUUUGGACAAUGGGCGCAAGCCUGAUCCAGCAAUGCCGCGUGCGGGAAGAAGGCCUUCGGGUUGUAAACCGCUUUUGUACGGAACGAAAAGGCUCUGGCUAAUACCUGGGGCUGAUGACGGUACCGUAAGAAUAAGCACCGGCUAACUACGUG
rnacentral:rRNA from 1 species